rnacentral:tRNA from 1 species
GUCCCAGUAGCUCAGCUGGAUAGAGCAACGGCCUUCUAAGCCGUAGGUCGCAGGUUCGAAUCCUGCCUGGGACG